GACCUACGGGUGGCUGCAGUGGGGAAUAUUGCACAAUGGGCGCAAGCCUGAUGCAGCCAUGCCGCGUGUAUGAAGAAGGCCUUCGGGUUGUAAAGUACUUUCAGCGAGGAGGAAGGCAUUAAGGUUAAUAACCUUAGUGCUUGACGUUACUCGCAGAAGAAGCACCGGCUAACUCCGUGCCAGCAGCCGCGGUAAUACGGAGGGUGCAAGCGUUAAUCGGAAUUACUGGGCGUAAAGCGCACGCAGGCGGUCUGUCAAGUCGGAGGUGAAAUCCCCGGGCUCAACCUGGGAACUGCAUCCGAAACUGGCAGGCUAGAGUCUUGUAGAGGGGGGUAGAAUUCCAGGUGUAGCGGUGAAAUGCGUAGAGAUCUGGAGGAAUACCGGUGGCGAAGGCGGCCCCCUGGACAAAGACUGACGCUCAGGUGCGAAAGCGUGGGGAGCAAACAGGAUUAGAUACCCUAGUAGUCG
rnacentral:rRNA from 1 species